UGCAGAUCAUUUUGCCCGGCUCUCUACUU
rnacentral:piRNA from 1 species